rnacentral:lncRNA from 1 species
AAAAAAACAUCUAGUAAAGGGUCAUUGCCAUUUGCGAAAAAAACCAUCUAGUUAAGGAAGCAUAAGUUGGCAAAUGGCAAUUAAUGCAUGAAUCAUGAUAAUGAUUAAUAGCAAUAACACCCACAUUUUUUCACAUUGUACACAUUCCUUGAGAUGAUCUAGGGACCCAAUUGCGUGUCAACCCCUCCUUGGCCCAAUGCUGACCAAUCACUACCUCUUAAAUGUGGAGUUUCAUAUUCAAAUUCAAAAAUCUGAUUAACAUGAACAACUAAGCUAAAGAUCACAUUGAGCCUUCAAAGGGGUAGAAUGAUUCAUCAUCAUCUUCUUUACAAAUCUAGGUAGGGUUUAGAUUAUUUGUAUUAGUUGCAGUUGUUAAUGUGUGGGGUUAUUGAUGGAUCUUGUCAGCUGUUUAAGAAAAUGCCUUAGAGAAAUUUUGUUACUUGGGCAGUUAUGAUUUUUGCAUAUGCAGACUGUGGGAAUGAUCAAGGCUAAAGUUGUUCUUGUUAAAGUAGGCAUGCCCAAGGGACAAGACAUAUAUAGGGAAAGCAAUAAUUUGAGAGUAAUUAAGCUUAAAUGUCUUAUACUGGUAGCCCUUGAAACUUAUGGCAGUAAUUAACCUUAAGAAUCAUUGGCUACUAGGGAGUACAAACUGAGUUUUGGUCGCACAAAGCUGACAAGUGGAAUUGACAAGGGACUGUCCAACUUAGAUGGGUAUGUGAAAGGAAAUGAGCUUCUUGCGCGGUUCAAGGUAGUGCGGCAGGGAAAGAACAAUUGCAAAAAUGCCGUUUCUUGAGUAAGUAAUUUUCUCCCCCUUCUCCAAUAAUGGUAAUACGUAUAUUCUACUUCCAUCUGUUUUUGUUUUCUUUUCUGUUUAUAAUUAUCUGUUUUUUUUUCUAUUGAGUAGUUUGAUGUUUUAAUAGAUUUGAUUUCAAUAAAUAAACUUCAAUCCUUUAUGUCUGUCAACCCUCUCAUUGCAUUUGUUUCAUCCCAUGUAACAUUAGUUAGGAAGAUAAGAAAGAUGUUAAAUGCACUCGCAGAUUCAUUACUGAGUACAGAACACGAGAAAUAGUAGAAACUGAUCCAUCAUAACACUAUGAAAACAUCUACUUGUAAAUGUUUACAAAAUCAAAUUAGUAAUAAGAUCAAGUAACAGGCUUACAAGUUAAAAUCACAUUAAUCAAAUUUAUAACAAGAUCAAGUACAGUUUAUUGUAUCAGUCCUUGGAUGAAGCUUGAUAGGAAGACCCAUAGCUGGAUAAGGCAUUGGUUCACGUGUUAAAGCCUCAUUGGGGAUCAUUUCUGUCCAUCGAUAAUUGGUUAUGAGAUGAUGAAUGAUCAACAACAUCUCGAUUCGUGCAAAAUCGACCCCAGGGCAACCACGCGGUCCAGCUCCAAAAGGGACGUAUGUAUAUGGCAGAACUGAUUUUGACGGGUUUUCAAAUCGGGAUGGAUCAAACUUCUCUGGUUCUUGAAAUAUCUUUUCGUCCAUGUGAGUCGCACAUGCAACCCAAAAUAACUGUGAUAGCAUAUGAAAGAGGUAUUUAGAUUAACCAUACAUGAUUAGUUUAACAAUGUUGAAUAACAAUUUCGUUUUGGCAAAAGAUUUCCUACCUGUUAAUUCAUUUCUAGUUAACACUACUUCAGGCAGUUAAAGCGACUAAAACUUAUUAAACGAAUAGGUCACUUUGGAUUUGCUCCUGACAUUUCAGUCUUUCAAACAGUGGACUCCGAAAAGGAAUACUCAUUCAUUGAACUCAAAUAGGUGACACAUACCUGCCAUCCUUUUGGGAUAUCAAAACCGCCAAAGCUGGUGUCUUUAGUUGUCUUCUUGAAGUUACCAAAUACUGGAGGAGUCACUCUCAUGAGCUCUUGGGCCACUCUCCAUGUAUACUUCAUCUUCUGCACAUCAUUCCAUUUAAGCUUUCCAUCCUUUCCUUCUGUCGUCUUAAUAAUUUCCUUGUGCUCUAUCAAAUAUAACAUACCCUAAUCAAUAAAAUAGAAACGAAAAUAAUUUCUCAUAUAUGUGUAUGACUAUGACCAUUUGCAGAGCAAGGGAGGCAAUUCACCACACCCUUCCCCCAACACACCUUAUUUGAAAUUCACUACCUAGGUGCGAAGAGAAUAUAUACAAACAUAACUUCUUUACGGUCAUGGACCGUAAAACGCUUGGAUUUGUACACUGAUAUUGUGCACGCGUGAUAAAAUUCUUGGCUUUGGCCUUGGUCUCCAUACAAAUUAUAUGGUCAACCACAUAUGAAGUAUAUAUAUAUAUCAAAUAAACCUUCACUGUCAAUAUGGUGUGACUCUAAAAUUCCUAUCUUUAACCAAGGCCAGAUUGAAAUCAAUUUCAAACGUAUGACGGUUCUAGCUUACCUGCAAGAACUGUGUCAUAAACAUGAGUAUCUCUAGCAAGGUGUCUUAGAAGGAGAGUCAAUACAAUUGCUGCGGUGUCAUGACUUGCAAUAAUUAAGGAGACGAUGUUAUCAACAAUCUCAUCUUCUAAUAACGAUUCAUCUGCAUCUCUUAAAAGAAGAAAACUUGAGAUAAUAUCUUCACGGGACUUCCCUAUACCCUCUUCCAUUUCUUUCUUUCUUCUCCUUACAAGUUUAGUGAUCACAAUAGUUAUCCUAUCUCUUGCCUGGACCGCUUGUCGAAAAAUGGUUCCUGGAAAGUCUAUAGGAAUUGCCCAUGUACCUUUAAGGGCAAUUGUAAAAUCUUCAAGCAAUGCAUCUUUCUCUUUACCUUCAGGUAAUCCAAAGAGCAAGCUACAAGUAACCUUGAAUGUGACCUUCUUCAUCAUCGUCACAACAUGCACUGAAUCUUUCCCUUUGAGCUCCUGCACCAUAAUCAAACCUUUAAAAAAGAUGUUAAUUUAUUUAUUUUACUAGUACAUUUGUAUAUAACCAAGGCAUCAUUGCUGUGUGCCUGUGUAGCUUUCUUAUAUCACAAACAAAAACAAAAAAUCUGAUGUGUGUCAAACUGUCAAGUACUGGCGAUUUUAUAUGAUCCCUUUCUAUAUCACGAUUUUAAGCCCUGAAGCUAACUCUGAUAAAAAGCAUUAGAACAGUGAUAUAUCAGCUUUGUGUUGUAGCAUAUGUCAGAGCUAGUGUAUGUUUGCAAUACCUGUAACAAUUGUUCCUUUAUUAUUGAAUCCAUCUCUCCUACAAAUCUCUGAAUGCUUUCAGGUCGAAGAAAGUUCAUCAUUGCACCCCUGACAAGCUUGUGCCUUUUCCCUUGAAGUUCAAAGAUGCUGUGUGCCCCAAUAAUUCUGGCUACUGAAACGGGUUGGUUGCUCGCAAUGGCGUCAUUGGCACUGAAGAUGAACUUGUUACCCGCUUGCCCAGUAAGGACAACCACUGGAGAUCCCAUGAGCGAAGUCUUGAAGAUAGGGCCAUAUUGCGACAAACGUUUAUCGAGCCAUUCUUUUGUUUUGUCAUUCUUCUGUGCUUUUAGAAAGCCUAUAGACUCUCCAAUGAGUGGAAAACCUUGUGCUCCUGGAGGAAGCUUCUUGCCUAACAAAGGUGAGAUUUUAAAUUUAUAAUACCCACCAAAAAGGGCUAGUAUUGUUGCUAUUACAACAGCUAGAAAUGGUAGUUGAGAUUCAAAGUAAGGUUGUAUAUGGCUCAGCAGUGACUCCAUUGAUGAUAUGAGGAAUUAUUACCGUAAGAGAUGACUAAGUACCAAGAACACAAUCAAAUUAUUUAUAGACCUUACAAACACAUUGUUAAGAUUCUGAAAUUUAUUAUAUGCGUGCUCACUUCAGACUCUCUGAAUUUUUGACAAAUGUAGCCUUAAAUUUGCAGAAAAUUGGUUUUUAUUGUUUGAGAUUGGCUUGUGAAAAUGUAACACCAAAUACAAUACAGAUGUGGCAGAUAUGUCAUACAUUGUGUCUUAUUAUAUGAUAUAUGACCAAUUGAGUAUCUAAUCAAUUAUAAUUAAACAAACAUCACAAACACAUAUUACAUAUUUCAAUCCGUCCAAGGCGGC